UAGAAAUGAUGAAUAGACUCUCUGAGAAAUCAUGAGGAUAUUUAUUCAAGAUAGUCAAGUACUGAUCUAG